AGUUACUUUGGUGACCACUUAGCUUUUGUUGGAAUCUACAGAAAAUCAUGGAAAUGAAGGAGAUAUAUGGCCACACUAUAAUGAAGUCAGAUACUCUCCAGUUACUGGGAAGCCAGUGGCUAACUAUCAAAACAAUGAUCCUGAGCUCAGGAAGAGCCCCCCCCUCUUGUGAAAAUGGCCUCCUAAAUUGACUGCGCUUUACAGAAACAAAUACUACUUUAGAAGUAUCUAUGAUGCUGGUCCAAUGAUUCAGUUGUAAAACCAGGUGUAUGCAUAAGAACAAGUAAGUAUCAUGAGUUCAUAUCUGGUAUUGAUGUGGUAAAUUGUCAUUAAUAUAACUCCCAAUUCAUUUUUUAAUGGCAUGGAAAUUUCUACCUUUGAGCCUUCAGAUUCAUGCUACUCUCAGAUCUCAUCAGAGGAGAAAAGUUGAACAAGUUGUCAUGAGUUAAUACAGAAACUCAGAACUGGUCAAAGUAAAGAGAAUAAAUAUCUGUGGUGUGCAACUGUAAAUGGGACAUCUAUAUCACAACUUUUUCCCCAGGGACUAUUCAAAAAGAGGGGGCAAGAUUAUAAGAGCCAGAAUUUAGGGAGGGGCAGAUGGAAACAGUGUUUUGUGGGUUUGAUAGGACCACUUUACUCAUGAAUUCAUAACACCUGUGGUUUCUUGCUUAAGACCUGGAUAGGAUCAAGUCAGUUGACUUUCUAGAAUGGAGAGGGUAGGAGUUCACAAACCCUCAGUUCAGUUGAUAGCUUCUGGGAAAGUCAAUUUUCUCUAAGGAUAUAUAAUCUUUGAUAGGUAGAUGAUUCUCCUCUCCAGGGCUCUAUACCCAUGAGUCAGCACACACUGGACUUAGUGAGAAAAAAAAAAAAAGAACAAGAAGCUAGGGUGUUAGGGAAGGAAGAUGGAUUCAAGAGGUGCUAGGGGAAGAAGAGUGGGAGAAUAUUGUAAAAAUCCAUUGUAUACAUGACUGAAGUACUCAAAGACUAAAAAAAAAUAUUAAAAAAGAAAAAUGGCAGUAAAAGUUAAUAUAAUUUUCUAAAGGAUUACCAUAUAAUUUCAUUUUGAUACAUAAAGUGACUAAGUUUUGGCCUUCAAUUCUUAGUUAGACUUUAUGCAAAGCUUUUAUGUAUCAAUUAUUAAUAAAGCACUCUGAAGUUCUUCCAUGAAGAACUUCAUGAAAGUACAUUACCUCAAACUAUCACUAUAAUGUUCUGAAUGCUGUGCUAGGCAAUAUCUCCCGCUAAAGGCACACAAGAGCAGACUUAAGUAUGAAGGGCUUUGGUUUAUCUUUUAUUGUGAUCUUAUAAAUUAGGUAGGAAGUUCUCCUUCAGAUGUCAUUCUCUUCCAGAGAAUGCAGCGACACAGAGAUGGUAAAUGCCUGUGUGGCCCGGGUGCUGAGACUAUGCUACUGCAUGCUGGGAAAUACUUCAAGAACAAUAUUUUCCAUAAAUAUCUUUGGAUUUUCACUCUCAAGAUGCUUCAAAGCAUUUUACUUAAAAAAACAAAACCUUUAAUUUACUUCAUCUUCAUCAACACACAAAUAUAAGAUAAGCAGCUUUCACAAACAAGCUACUGACUGAAAUUAUAAGUAUUUUAGGGAAUAUCAAAAUUUUAAGUCAAGGCCCGAAAUAUACAAAUGAGAGGAGAAUAAAGUUCCCAAAGAAUAAAAAUGAGUCUGAGCAGUGUGAGAAGAAGUUAGUAGAGAAUGGGAAAUAGGAAUCCAGGAUAGCUCUUUUAAAAGAAAAUGUAUGUCUCUGUGUUGUGUAUGUUUGAAUUUUCUUCUGUACUUGGAGGUGAUAUCAAGAUUAUAAAAAUUUCUAACUGGGAAUAGUUUGUUUUUUUUUUUUUUUUUCCCAUGAAGGAAAGGAAGGGUAAAGUUGUGUAUAAGUGAAUUUUCUAUCACAGGAAGUUUUUCACAAAAUCAAACUGACUUCCAGGAAGGAAAUAUAGAGUCUGUCUCUAGGGUUAUCAUUUUGCUCAAACUUGAGUCUAGUCUAGUUUCUGUCAAUUGCACUGGUGUGCACUUUCAGUUCAGACCUUUGCCAGUUCAGUGCAUACUGUCUCGUUGGCCAAAACUCAUCUAUCUGGGGUUUUCUGUCCUUUGUAUACAUUUUUCAAGACUCUACACUUAGAUAUCCACUUCCUCUAGCUCAGUCAAUAACCUUGCAAAAUAGCAACAGCAGCCUGGACCUGACUGUUUAAAUACUUAAAUCUGUUAGGCAUCCACAUCAAUCCUGAUACAUUUAUAUUUCUUUCUUUUUUCUUUUUUCUUUUUCUUUUUGGUUUUUCGAGACAGAGUUUCUUUGUAUAGCCCUGGCUGUCCUGGAACUCACUUUUUAGACCAGGCUGGCCUCGAACUCAGAAAUCCCCCUGCCUCUGCCUCCCAAGUGCUGGGAUUAAAGGCAUGUGCCACCACCGUCUGGCUAUAUUUCUUUUUCUUUCUUUUCUUUUCUUUCAUUUUUUUUUAUUGCAUUUGAACCAAUCACCUCAACAUUCUAUACUCUCUUUCUUUUCAAAUUAUGGAUUUCUUUCAUACUUUCUUGGAUGAACAGCAGACAAGUAAAAUGCAGAGAGAAUCCAGAAAAGGUGCCAGGUUUGAAUGGAACACCAGGCUAGAUAAGGUUUAAGAGAUUUUAUUUUUUUGUGUGUGUGCUAUAGCAGUUUUUACAUUUUUAAAUAUGAUAAUGAACUGUACAUUUUAAGUCUCAAAACCAGAACACACACACUUGUUAAACUUUUUAUAUCUGGUAAGCAUUAGCUGAAGCCUGUCUUCCUAUAGCCUCACUGUUCACUCACUUCUCCCCUCAGCUUACACAAUCAUUCCAGAUUCUAUGCCAUUUUAGCAAUGUGGCCACGUUUUCUCAUUUCUCUUCAGAGACCAUUACAAUUUCAACAAUAAUCUUUUAAAUCUUUUGAAGUUUAUAUGAAAUAACUUAUUGUUUGGUGAGUAGAACUUUCCUCACUAGUAACUUAUGAAAUAACAUUUUAAGCAAGCAUUUUCUAAUUUACAUGUGCAUAAUCAUCUUCAAUAGAUGGAAGUGGAGUAAAUUAACUAUGUAACGCAUAUGGCCUCAGAGUCAUCCUCUUUGUUUUUAUUUCAGUGGGAUAUUUUUGCAUUUGAGCACAUUGGGGCCUUUUAUUAUUAGUAUGUCAGGUAAUUACGUAAAAGAGAAUGAAACAUGUAAGCAGACAUAUAGUAACAGCAAUUGAGAACUGAACUGAGUGCCUUCUCGCUUAGGACUGGGUCUCCUGGUAUGAGAAGGUUCCAUGUAAGAUUUUAAAGGAGAAAUGCUAUCAACAGUUGUACCUAGCUUUUAUGCUUAUGAAACACAUUAAGGGCCAGCAUGGUAAGAUAGCUCUAUGGAUAUAGUAGUGGCACACAUACCUAGGAGGCAACAACAGCUCUCUAAUUGGAUUUAAGACAUUCACAGCCUGAUGGGUACCAUGCCUGCAAGUAGAGACCAGUUAAAUAACCAGUAGUAAUGAAAUCAUGGUUAUUGGAGGAGAACCUAGAACCACUAAUUUACUAAACCAGCAUAAUAUCUAAUAAGAACCUAUAAACAUUUGUUCUUUUAACCACAGAUAAGUGUAGUCUCACUAAGAAAACUUCUCUUUGCAACAGAGACUGCUACAGAAAACCACAGUUAAUUAAGAGGCAGAGACAUGUAACCUAUUCUCCAUGAACACAUCUCCAAAACACUUACAACCAAAGGCUCAUGGAACAUUAUGUAAGAGGAGGUGGAAAGAUAAUAAGAAUUAGAGGAUCAGGGAGUUUGUUGUGAGAUUGUAUCUCCUAGUAACACAAAAAGUGACAUCAGUAAAGUCUCACUAAGAUGACUACUACUCAGACAUGAGAUGAACCAGGAGGAAAGCAAUGAACAUGCCUAAGUGCAUGGGGAAAUGCCCAUGAGGCCUCAAUCUUACACAAAAUCUACAGGCAAAUGAGGAAAACUGGGAGUAGGAGGAAUGGCCUUCCUUAGGGAAGAGCACACUAUCUGCAUGUUCAGUGUCAAGCAGUAAGCCCUUAAAAUAUAUGUACAUUAUGUGAACUCAACAGGCUAUAUCUGAAAUAUAUACAAAUAUACAAAUAUAACACAUAUGAGAGAGAAAAAGGUACACACUUCACACACAUACACUCAUGCAGUCAUGCACACAGAGGGAGGUGAAGAGGGAGAGAGAGGAUAGAGAGGGAGGGAUGGAGGGAAGGAGGAAGGGAGGGAAGGAAGAGAGAGAGAGAGAGAGAGAGAGAGAGAGAGAGAGAGAGAGAGAGAGGAGAAAGAGGAGAGAGAGGAAUUUUCUUUUAACCAAAGCAUAGUUAGCUAGACAUAUAGCUCAUUGGUGAAGAAUAUGUAUUGCUCUUAAAGCAGAUCCAAGUAUAGGUUCUAGCACCCACAUCAAUUGGCUUACAACUGGUCUAUACCUUCAUAUCUGAGGGAUCUAGGACCUCUGGAUUUUGCACACACACACACACACGCACACACACACACACACACACACACACACACACACACACACUUAUAAAAGGGGGAAAAAGCCUAGCUAGAUCAAUUAUAUUUCUCAAAUUCUUAACAAAAAGAAUGGAAGAUAUGAAUCCCCAAAUUAGUCAAAUAGCAUGAUCUUUGGCAAAGGAAUACUUAGUAGAAGUAUUAAAGUUACUUGUCUGUUUAUUACAAUUUGUCCUUAUUUCUCCUUGGUCCUUUCCUCAAGCCUCUUGCUUUGAUGUCCUGCCACAUGUUUUUGCCACUGAUGUGGAGGUAUGCCCUGCUGUCGCAUUCCCACACUUAUAUUCAAUCUUGAAUGCCCUUUGUCCAGAUUUUUUUUUUAACCGGGGAGCUUUUAUUACAUGACAGUUUGAUUUCAUCCUUUAAACAAUUUUGCUUGUUGGACAGAUUAUUUGUGCUUCUCUGUUUUUCCUUUAAGUACCUGUAUAGAUCAGAUUGAUAUUGAUUUAACUCAGAGACAAGGCAUAGAAACUCGUAGCUAUAUGAUAAGUAUGUGUCACACAGGUUAACAGAUGGAAGAGUGAUGCUUACAAGUAUAAGUGGAAAAUAAGAAGCUUGUAGAAUAGAGACAAGAAACCAUUUUUUGCUUUAUUUGCAAUAUAUUAGCAUAUUAUAUAUUAGUGUACAGUUGAAUAUCAUAAGCACAUAAUAAAAUGAAUAUACUGCUGGGGGUGGUGGCGCACGCCUUUAAUCCCAGCACUUGGGAGGCAGAGGCAGGCGGAUUUCUGAGUUCGAGGCCAGCCUGGUCUACGAAGUGAGUUCCAGGACAGCCAGGGCUAUACAGAGAAACCCUGUUUCAAAAAACAAAACAACAAAAAAACCCAAAACAAACAAACAAAAAAAACCCCAAAACAAAAUGAAUAUACUUUUUAGUCUGAGUUUUUCUUUUAAAAGGAAGGCUAUUGAGCAAGUACAGAUGUAUUUAAGAUAUAAUUUAGAUAUAGGUGGGAUCCUUGUCUGAGAAAAGAUUAAACAAUAAAUAAACUAUAAAUUUUGUUAUUGGUUAAUCCUUGGCGAGUCCUAGCUCAAAUAGAAAGGAAAAAUGUUGAGGUCAGUUAAGCAACAGUAUUCACCGGUUUCGGCUUCCUGACUGUGGACACAUUAUGACCACCUGACUCAUGCUCCUGCACAUGUUUCUAUCGUACAUGAUGAACUGUUUCUCUUCAUGCUAUAAACCGAAGCAACCCCUUCCUUUAGCUGCUUUUGCCAGGCAUGUUCUCAUGACAAUAGGAAAAAGCAGUUGAUGUAAUUUGCUUUUUGUUAGCUUGUGUUUUCAACAUUUGAUGAGCAAUUUUCCUAUUUCCUAUUUAAUAAUUGAUACUUUAAAUCAUUCUUUAACCUAUAGUGAAUAUUCUGGGGAAGCUGCUUCUGAUUUAAAACUAAGAAUCAAAAAUAAUUUAUUCAUGUAAAUUAUCAAGCAGGUUUUACUUUAUUAUUUUAAAAGAAUUGUUUUUUGGAUUCUAAUAACUGCUCUACAAGCAAAGCAACAUUAUUUGAGCCUAACCUUAUCUUGGAUUCAACAUUGUUUUUGAGACAAAAUGAGUGCAUUCUGGAAAAUACACUCAUCUUCUUCCUAGACUCUUGCUAUCAAGAGCUAUGGCUGCAGCUAUUACUAGACAAUUACUUUUUUUCUACCCUCAUCAAUUAACACCGGUUAGCACUAAUCUGACUGAUAUGUUAAAGGUUUGAUUUUGUUUUAUUUAUUUAUUUAUUUAUUGCUUGUUUUUUGGUUUUGUUUUUUGUUGUUGUUGUUGUUGUUGUUUUUCGAGACAGGGUUUCUCUGUGUAGCCCUGGCUGUCCUGGAACUCACUCUGUAGAUCAGGAUGGCCUCAAACUCAGAAAUCUGCCUGCCUCUGCCUCCCAAGUGCUGGGAUUAAAGGCAUGCGCCACCACUGCCCGACUUAUUUAUUUUCUAUAAAACCAGUAAACUUAUUGCAGUAUAAUAGUGCCUUAACAUUCAAGUUGAUUCAUCCAAAAAGUAAGCUUAAUGAAGAAAAAUUACCCUUCUUAGCAUAGCUUCAUAUCCUUUGAAUUCUUCUUACCUUGUGUAUGUUCUAAGUGAUCAUACCCUGAUAGGCAAAGGUGCUCUACCAGAAAGCAAAAGCAUCUUGCUCUGCAUGUGCAGUGCAGGACAUUGCUGAUAGGAUUGCCUAGAGGUGCUCUUUUCUUUAGAAACUUGAUCAUUCUUGUGUAUCACUUGUUAGUUCAGUAUGUGGGAAACAAAUUGUUUCUACUUUUCAACCAGAACAACAAACUAAAAUCUAGAGGUUUCAAAGCAGUUUGCUAGGUGACAUUUCUGGACAAGAAAACCUUUGAGGUAAUUGCAAGCUUGCUACUAAGGCCUCAAGUAUGACUGAGUGCUGCUAUCUUAAACACAUAUUGAAGAUGUCUCUUUUCCAGUCUUCAAGUGAAGCCCAUUCAGAUUUCCUUUGAACAGUUAUUUUUGUUGUCCUAGCUAGUGCCUGGGGAUGUACUGGUUAGUGAUGUGUUCUACUUUGAUGGAUAGAAUUUUAACAGGCAAACACUCAAGUGAUACCAUUAGAAUUCUGCUUUUCUGUUUGCCAGUAUUCACAGCUUCCUCCUUGGCCAAUGGUCUAUUUCACUAUCUUAUUGUGUCCUGUAGAAUUCAUCUCCAUUUCCUGAGCUCUCCCUGAAAUGCACCUGCACCUGGUUCUGUUAGUUCUUCAGUAUGGGAAAUUGGUGAUAGGAUUUCCUAGCUAACGUUUUGUUUGUUUGUUUGUUUGUUUGUUUGUUUGCAGUCUUUCAUCUGUCUUGGACUAUCUUUUCUUUUCCUUGACUAUGAAAAAUUCAAUUCCUUUCCUUUUGUUUCCCAUGCAUAGGAAAAUCUUAAUAUGUUUUACAACGUAGAAAAUUUUUAUUUUUCUUCUGUAAAGCAUUCCUGACUUGUAGCAUACUUAGUCAUCUUGUCUUCUGAGUUCUGGCUCUAUUUCAUAUUUCUUUUCUAUAGCUAUUAAAUGUCCCAAUAAUUAUUUUUACACUUUUGGGAGCCUGGCCUGAGUGUAAGCUAGGAAUAGAUAACAUUUGUUUUCAUUUUUCUAGUAUAUAGAAUUUAAAUAAGUACAAGAGAUGCUGACUGCAUAGAUGUCCUAUCUACUGAAUCAGAUGACUCACAUCCAAAGUCUACAUGUCUAUCAAACAUCUGCCACAGAGACAUGUCUUUCCUCACAGGUGUGGCUUGCUUUCCUUUUUCUAUUGUGCUUCUUUUUAGUCUUUUCUCAUUUUUUUCUUUCUCGUUUUUUGCUUUGGUGUGAAAAAAUGAUCUCUAGCUAGUUACUGAAAUGAUCCAAUAUGAAACACAAUGUCAGGCUCUCCAAUAUUGGAUUUCUUCUUUAAUCCUUUAUUAAAUGGUAAUGAUUCAAGGGGGAGAUGAGGUGGAAAAGGUAGAGUUUUAUAUAGUAUAAUUUCUAAUAUUUAAAAUUUGUACAAAUUUGUAUAUAUACCCUCUAGAUAUUCAGCGUUUAUACUUUAACUAAUGAUGCUAUAAAUUUGACUUUUUGUCUAUGAUUCUUCCUAGGAGUUGAAUCAUACCUGGGUGGUGCUAGGUAUGAUUUGCAAUAUGGUGAUUAAAAUAAAUUAAUUGGUCCAAUGUCAUAUUUCUUCUCCUCUGUACAAACGUCUACUUUAUGUUGAGGGUACUUUCCUCUGUCUGGUUGAUCUUGCCUCAGGGUAGGAUGAUUGUCCUUUGGUAACAUAGUAACUUUUUAGGACAUCAAUAAUAGAUUCUUUUUUUUUUUCUUUUCCAAAUUAGGUGGCAAACAGAAUAGGAAGGUCAUCCAUGUAUAGCUUCCCAGAUCCACAUGCUUUUAGUAGGACACUCUUUUUUUGUCUUAUUUUGUGAAACCAGUAACACUGUAGAAGAAGGAGCUAAUUACAAAAGUGGGAUGUGACUAAGAGGGUGUCUGAGAUGUCUGUGGACCAGCUGUUGAGUCAUUUUUCUUUAUUCUUUUGUUAGGUAUGCAUUUGUAUUUCACAGUCUAUGGUCAGUAUUUAUAGUCUUUGGAUAAAUACUUAGAUUCUUAAAGGCAUACAUUUUAUGAAAUGAAGAAGAGUUAGUAUAGUUUCAAUUCUUUGAUACCUUUGCUAUCAUUUCCAAUUCAUAAGAACUGAUAUUUAUAGUGAAAUCUAGGGUGUAUAUUUGUUAAUCCCUUUAUAAUCAUGUUUCUACAAAAUCUUUAAGUAUAUAAAAGUAACCAAGCAGAAUAUAAAAUGUAUCUGUACUAUUAGGCACUUCAGGCCCAGUACACAGACACACAGGCAGGCAGACAGACAGACAGUCACACACACACACACACACACACACACACACACACACACACACACGAGAGAAAGAGACCGGGAAAUGGGUGGAUGGGGAGAGAGAGGAAAAAGGAGAGAGAGAGAGAGAGAGAGAGAGAGCAAUCAUUCAAUAAGUAUUUGAAGAAUUAAUAAGUACCCAGGAAUGGCUAUCUGCCUGAGGUUUUAUUGUGUGCUUUGUUUGAAGUUAUACUCUAUGUGUAAAUUUAUAUAGUACUUCACCACCCAACACAUGAGCUGAAAUACUUCUUAUUAAAUUUUAUUUAGAGAAAGCAGGUUUUUUUAAAAAAAUCAUCUCAGUUCAGCUUACUGUAUGUAAAGUGAGGAGGAGGAGGAAGAGGAGGAGGAAGAAAAACCCAAGCCUUAAGGAGAUAAUUAAGCUACGUAUUAACAAAACAAAACCACACACACAAUAACAAAAAAUAGCCAUUGGACAUUUGUUAACUAUUUCUAAGAGAGUAAAAACACAUCUGUGCUUUAAAAUUUUACAAUCUUGUCUGUCUGAUCCCAAGUGUCAGAGAUGGAUGUCCUGAUCAAAGGGUUUCAUGAGCUGUA